rnacentral:lncRNA from 1 species
UUAAGUAAGGAAUGAGUUACACUAGCCCAAUAAAGACAUCACACUAUCUCACUGCCACAGGAGUAAAGGUCGGUAGAAAACAAAAAACAAUCAAUGGAACAUAAUUUAUAACAAACUCAUUUAUUAACAUAAAAAUCUUUACUAUCCACUUACCUCGGUGAGAUUUAUGAAAAUAACAUAUGAAAAAAAUAACAUUAUAACCAUCAUAAAAUCAUAUCGACGUUGUAAC